rnacentral:lncRNA from 1 species
GUACAAGUAUUUUUUCUCAGAAAACUUUCACUUAUUAAUGCAUUACUUUUUAGGGAAAUUCAUCACUUAUAAACCGGUUUGCUCUCGAUGACAAGUCAAAAGGGCAAAAGGGCAUUAGUGGAGCAGUGGUAAUGUCCCUAUUUCGAUAGACACUUGGCUGAAAGAUCUUCCGAGAGCCCAGGUUCUUCAGCUCCAGCUGAAACGUAGACAGUGUUUUAAUCAUGAUUGAAUGGCUGAAACCAUGAGACCUAUAAAUGUUUUUGAAGUUUUUGAAGAAUUCGUUAUUCAAUUACCACAGAUUUUUAUAAAAAGUAUAAUGUUAUAGUUAACGAGCAACGGAUGUCUAGUUUUACAUAAAGUUAGGAAUGAAGACCCCGAGUCAUCCCAUCCUGACGAGGAUUUGGAAGCUGAACAGCGC